AGGCUAAGGAGACGAUUUUGGCUUUAGCAGAAAGGGGGGAGGGACUGAGAAGUUGUCGAUGUUCAAAUUCUUUGGCUAAAUCCUGGAUCUUAACAAUCCUAUCUACAGCACCUUUUUAAACGUUUUAGUUUUAUUUUUCA